CUACGGGAUGCACCAGUGAGGAAUAUUGCACAAUGGGGGGAACCCUGAUGCAGCAACGCCGCGUGGAGGAUGACGCAUUUCGGUGUGUAAACUCCUUUUAUAUGUCUAGAAAAUGACGGUAGCAUAUGAAUAAGCACCGGCUAACUCCGUGCCAGCAGCCGCGGUAAUACGGAGGGUGCAAGCGUUACUCGGAAUCACUGGGCGUAAAGGACGCGUAGGCGGGUUGGAAAGUCAGGUGUGAAAUCCUACAGCUUAACUGUAGAACUGCACUUGAAACUUCUAAUCUAGAGUAUGGGAGGGGGAGAUGGAAUUAGUGGUGUAGGGGUAAAAUCCGUAGAUAUCACUAGGAAUACCUAAGGCGAAGGCGAUCUCCUGGAACAUUACUGACGCUAAGGCGUGAAAGCGUGGGGAGCAAACAGGAUUAGAUACCCUUGUAGUC
rnacentral:rRNA from 1 species